GCAGUGAUUAGACACCAAGGGAAGACUGUCUUCCUGAGUCUGUGACCAGCGCCAGAGUUUUGGGUCCACGGAUAAAAUGUGUCUCCUUUGUCUCUACUAGAGAAGAAAAAGACUGGACAGGGAGAUUGGAGGGUAGCGACAGAGGCUGGAGAAAAGAGUGAAGAGACCACUUACCCGAUUUGAAAUUGAGGAGGGAGUCACAAGGUGCAUGGUGGAGAGAUGAUGGGACUCAUUGUCCAGAAGAAUGUCACAGGGUCGAUUGAUCAGUUGGGGCAGGGCAGGAACACGUCAUAAUGGUGGAAUGUCGUAAGAGUGAGAACUUGUGACGGUGAAUAACUCUUCUCUUUCCUGGUACCUGGACUUCAGAGAUUAAUACAAAACCCUGUGGGUCAGGACUUGGCAACACCAAGAAGCAUUCAAAUAUAAUGAUUUAUUCAACUGUGUAUUGUCAUGGAAAUAAUAAUUAAAUGGCACAUCUUUGUUGUCUGAAAGGGA
ensembl:lncRNA UCA1-AS1 UCA1 antisense RNA 1